GGUCACAGCAAAUAAGAUAUUGAAGGAAUUGGUAUGUAGAUACAGAGUACCUGAAGUAAUUGAAAGUGACAGAGAGCCAUUUUACUGGUGAAAUCAUGCAAGCAUUAGGCAUAAGGCAGGCUUUUCAUACCCCUUAUCAGAGUAGUGGUAAGGUAGAAAAGGCAAAUGGCAAAUUGAAAAGCAAGAUAGCUAAAGUUAUGCAAGAGACAGGUAAACCAUGGACUGAGUGCCAACCCUUUAGCCCUCUUUUCUAUGAGAUUUACCCCACAACCCAGGACUAGUUUGUCCCCUUUUGAAAUAUUGUUUAGAUGCGCCUCUAAGACAGGUCUCUAUUUCCCUCAGGUAUUGCAACUCCAGCAUAGCAAUAUGACGGCUUAUGUUCACGCCCUAAAUCAGAGGUUAGGUAGGGUGCAUAAACAAGUGUUUCAUUCUAUUCCAGACCCUGAAACCAGUACUUCAACACAUAAGAUACAACCAGUAGACUAGGUAGUGAUUAAGACAUGUGAGAAAAAGCCUGAAACCUAGAUUUGAUGGUCCAUUCCAGGUUCUUAACCACAGUGACUUCAGUGAAGCUUGAAGGAAAACCAACGAGGAUCCACGCUAGCCACUGUAAGCUAGUACCACAUCCACCAGUAACAUGUUUGCUGUUG